ACUGAGUCAUAGGUUUGGUUUUUUCAGAAGACGUGUGUUAUCUUGUUGGAUGGGAUUUCUUCUUCCGAAGAGAAAAGAUGAAACUAAAAAGGUUAGUGGCUCAGCGCUGCCCUCUAUCCGUGAUUUGAAGGGUUGACAUGCAGGAAGUCUCAUCAGGUGUUUACUGGGUCAGGAUCAGUUUGGAACUUGCAUGGGAGAUGCUGAAUAUCACUCUAUCUUUCUAAGAUUCCGCUAUUGUGUUGUCGAAGCCCUUUCCGGUUCCGCACCGGAAGGUUAAUACUCUGUUUCCUCAAUUCUAUGGCCCUUGCUCUCCCUUAGAUCUACUUCUUCUGCUGCCCAGUGCAGUGGAGCUGAUCUAUGCAGAUGGCAGCUGAGAUCGGUGAUGCUUCAGCUACUCAGUCAGCAUCUGCCCAUCUGUGUUUCCUUGCUAUGGCAACACGUUCUCAUCAACCAGGUGCUUAAUUAGAGCUAGCCCUGUGACGAUGCGGCAGAGAAGCACACCCAGCACGGAUGGGAGCAGCCCUCCAGCCAUUUGAUGAGAUGCCUAAUGAACCAUGAGUCCAUGAGACUAAAAACAAUGAAGAAUGAAUUGUGUUAGAUUUUUUGGUACAUUUAAAUUUACCAUCUCAGUUAUUACUGCUCAUUUCUGAAUACGUUAAUUUGAAACAUCACUUGCAGUUGAUGCUUUCGGUUGAUUACUACUCCAACAAAGAAGAAAACAAACACCCUUUUACAAAGAUAAAUGCUACUACAGAUUUUAGCACAUGUAGUAGCUUACACUCACUUGAUGUGCAUGGAUAGCACCAAAUGAGUUCAUGAAUACUUCGGCAAGUUCGAUCCCAAGCUGCUGGAGAGCUCAGAGCCCGAUGCCAUCCUCAAGCUCAUCGUCCCGGUACAGGAACAAGAUGGAGUUCUCGCUUGGGACAAAGAGAUGGAUGCAAAGGGAGUGGAAGGAGAAGGAGGAAGUAAACAAGGCUGACGAGAUAUUCCCCAUAACAUUUGAUUAACUCAUGAUCAGCUUUUUUAGGCUAUGA